rnacentral:rRNA from 1 species
CGGCGGACGGGUGAGUAACGCGUGAGCAACCUGCCUCAAACAGGGGGAUAACGCAUCGAAAGAUGUGCUAAUACCGCGUAAGACCACGGCAUCACAUGGUGCAGGGGUCAAAGGAGCAAUCCGGUUUGAGAUGGGCUCGCGUCCGAUUAGCUAGUUGGUGAGAUAACAGCUCACCGAGGCGACGAUCGGUAGCCGACCUGAGAGGGUGAUCGGCCACAUUGGAACUGAGAUACGGUCCAGACUCCUACGGGAGGCAGCAGUGGGGAAUAUUGGGCAAUGGGCGAAAGCCUGACCCAGCAACGCCGCGUGAGGGAAGAAGGGUUUCGGCUCGUAAACCUCUGUCCUAUGGGACGAAGGAAGUGACGGUACCAUAGGAGGAAGCCCCGGCUAACUACGUGCCAGCAGCCGCGGUAAUACGUAGGGGGCGAGCGUUGUCCGGAAUGAUUGGGCGUAAAGGGCGCGUAGGCGGCCUGAUAAGUCUGGAGUGAAAGUCCUGCUUUCAAGGUGGGAAUUGCUUUGGAUACUGUUGGGCUGGAGUGCAGGAGAGGAAAGCGGAAUUACCGGUGUAGCGGUGAAAUGCGUAGAGAUCGGUAGGAACACCAGUGGCGAAGGCGGCUUUCUGGACUGUAACUGACGCUGAGGCGCGAAAGCGUGGGGAGCAAACAGGAUUAGAUACCCUGGUAGUCCACGCUGUAAACGAUGAAUGCUAGGUGUAGGAGGUAUCGACCCCUUUCUGUGCCGCGGUCAACACAAUAAGC